GAUGAUUAAGAAGACGAUGGGGUAGGUGAGGAAAUGGAUACCAUUGCACCAGUUAAUGUUGUAAUUAGUAUAUGUAAUCGGGCGCUUGUAGAAGUAAAAACAAAACCAGAUAUUGGUAAUUGUGUGUUAAUUACUUCCCUAAUUGUCAUACUCAUCAUGGCUUUGAUUCUCCCCAAUCAACUGUGUUCUUUAUUCAAACCAGGUUGCAUUUUACCAACUAGUAUAGCCUCACCUGAGGGUUCAAUAGUGCAUACCCGCCGAUGCUCAUGUUUACAGCGGGAAUGAGAAUGACGAAGCGGGAUAAGUUGCCGGAGAUAGGAGAAGAAGGAGAAGAAGAAGAAUAAGAAGAAGGCGACAAUAGUAACUUAGUAAGCUAACAAAGUGCUUGAGAAGUUGCCUACUGAUGAUACAAUUCCACUGAAGAAGCAACAUUCUGAUGCUCCUAUCAAAGGGACUGAGAGAAGCUAUAUAGUGCAACGACUCGUUGAGAAGUUGACUCUCGAGAAACGAUAUGUCGGUCAACAUGAGUAGAAAGUCACACCUUCCAUGGCUGUGCAAGACGCAACUGUUAUGUUUCAACAUAUCUCAACUCAUCAAGGUCGUCCUACUCGAGCGAGCCGACCGAGGUAAAAGGUCAACAGAAGACCGGAAAAUAAGAACAAAAGCUUCCAACUUGUUAUGUCCAUGGCCAGCUCCAGCGCUUUUCUGCCAUGUCAAAUCCUUAUGAAAGUAGCGUUAGAACACAUUUUACUAACAUCUCGCAGUAACAGAUCGAAAGAUGAUGAACAAAUGACAAAUUGAACACUUACGAUUGGCACUCUUGCGAAAUAUCUACCAAACUGAAGCCCCCACAGAUAACAGAAGUAGAGAUGCAGCUAUAAUGGAAAUCACGAGCAUAAACUGGCCAAACUGAGAAUGCCGGUUUGCAUCGCAAGCAUACCUCAUCCUCAUCUUGUGUUUCGAUUUCGAGACAGGAAUCCAACAUAAAGUAAUGAAUUUCCCAACAUCAAAACAGCAGACUCACAUAUCACUGUCACUAAUUUCAUACAUGUCUCUUGUCCAAUCUUCUUAGUAUGAUUUUACACCUACCACACAACUAGUAAAAUACCCUGCAACAAGUAGAAACCCAGCGAUGAACACAACUUCAUCAAUAGAGUUGAUAAGUUCAUUAUGAACAUUUUUGUUUCUCGUUACCAGUAUACAUGUUUCUAAAUACAUCAAAUCCUUCAACUCUAUUAAUUUGAUCAUCCUAUACUAUGCAAGCAUGGGUUCGAUUUUGGGCAUUAUGGUUUAUAAACUCUGCAAAUUUGAAUGAAUUACACACUCUUGGAUGGCAUAGCUGAACUGGGAGACCCUACAGCAAAUACAAGAAGCAAGCAUCACAAAUUCACAAUGCAGUAACAUAAAAUCCCUAAGAAUUCAUCAAUCAGUCUCCAUCAGAGAGAGUCAAUACCAUACCUGCAAGAGUGCAAGAAAAAGGAAGCUCAAUCCGUUGCGAUUUGUCAGUGUGAAGUAUAUACUGAUCCUGCAAAAACCAAACCUUAAGUCAAAAUCCCUCAAAAAGGCAAAAUCAUUCCCAGAACUACCUCUGGGACAACGAAAUCGAGGACUAUGCCGCACUGGUGAUCGUGAACGGUGACUUUAUUGGUGGGAACUUUCGUCUGGGCGGAGGAUCGGCCGUUUACUCCAUCUGACGCUCAUUUCGUCCGGCGGGUAGUGAUGCAUGCCCUGGUAACUCCUCUUACACGAGACGAAGUGGAUCGAUAUUCUUCGAACCAACUUGUUAACAGAGCAAAAACAACACCACGGAGGAUCAGAUGAAGCAGGAGUCGAUUCCUCGGCGUCGGAGAAGUCAAAUCGAGGGAAAAAAACACAGAAUGUGCAGAUGAAACUUCGACGCGUGCAACCCAACCUUGCGCGUGGAUGCGCGUAGGAAUAUGUACAACACGCGCGCGUGGAUGUAAUGCGCGUGGGAGGGAAAGCCCAUUCGCAAAAUCGCGCGUUGCGUCCACUUGCGCGUGUUGAGCACGCGUAAAACGAGUCGGGUUGGC
rnacentral:lncRNA from 1 species